AUUACCUGCUACAAUAGAUCAGUUUAUAGAGUCGUCGAAAGGUUCGAUCGAUUUCGACGUGUACACCUGCAGUACGUGCUCCCUGAUCAUCGUUGUUGUAUUUGGAGAAUACAGAAUAUACUGUGUCAGUUUUACACAGAGUACGGGAUACCGCGUCAUCCGGUGCUUAAUUAGAUAGCACGAUGAAGCGUGAAUCGCUCGUAACUGGAAGUUCAAUAACAAGAUACAAGGCGAAAGUAAGACGAAACAAAGCGGAGAAAAGGAUAAGAUGGCCGAGAUAAUGGAUUAUCGUUAUGGAUGGUUUUUUGAAUUCUUCGAGCAGGCACUGCUGGAACAAAUCAGUUACAAGCGCAAUGGAAAACUUUCGAUUCUUGAUUUUUUGAUUGAAGCGUUUCUGAUUCGUUAGAUGACACGAUGACACGAAUACAAAAAAAUCCACCAUGGUUUUAACCGAGUAAGCUGUACGGUCAUUUUAGUUAUUUUGGUUUCCCUCGUGUCUGUCAGUUCCAUGGAAUUUUUAUGGAAAUAGACAGUGACUCUGUGAAAUAAAUCAAAUCUAUC
rnacentral:misc_RNA from 1 species